rnacentral:rRNA from 1 species
GAUGAACGCUGGCGGCGUGCCUAAUACAUGCAAGUCGAGCGAACAGACGAGGAGCUUGCUCCUCUGACGUUAGCGGCGGACGGGUGAGUAACACGUGGAUAACCUACCUAUAAGACUGGGAUAACUUCGGGAAACCGGAGCUAAUACCGGAUAAUAUAUUGAACCGCAUGGUUCAAUAGUGAAAGACGGUUUUGCUGUCACUUAUAGAUGGAUCCGCGCCGCAUUAGCUAGUUGGUAAGGUAACGGCUUACCAAGGCAACGAUGCGUAGCCGACCUGAGAGGGUGAUCGGCCACACUGGAACUGAGACACGGUCCAGACUCCUACGGGAGGCAGCAGUAGGGAAUCUUCCGCAAUGGGCGAAAGCUUGACGGAGCAACGCCGCGUGAGUGAUGAAGGUCUUCGGAUCGUAAAACUCUGUUAUUAGGGAGGAACAAAUGUGUAAGUAACUAUGCACGUCUUGACGGUACCUAAUCAGAAAGCCACGGCUAACUACGUG